rnacentral:misc_RNA from 1 species
GAAAAGAAGCUCUCAUUUCAUUGCUAAGGCAACAUCAACGUCAAGCGUUGAAAAGAAUUUACACAAGCCACUCUUUGAUCUAUCAUAUUGGUUGUCAACAUUAGUUGAAAAGAACAUGCUUCGAAUCAAUUUCUGGUUAGACCCUUUUUGUUCAACAAAUCUGUUAAAGAUCUAAACCUUCAUCAACUUGGGAACAUGGCUUUUGCAUUCUAACACUGCUUAUGCUA